GAAACGAAGUAAAAAUAGUACGGACAGACAUAAUUUUCUGUACUUUGCGUCGUAAAAUACCUUUACGGAUGAAAUUGAUGUGCGAUUUUACGUAUUUGGGAUGUAGCGCAAGUCUCUGUAACAGAUCCGUAAUUUUACAUCUCGCUUUCGGACUUUUACCUGAGUGCAUGCAUGUUAGGGGAGGAAAGCUCAGGAGAGAAUAGGGAGAGAGGCUGAAAACGUCAUCACCCACGCCAGCAACUGACAAAAUUCAACCCUCGCGCCUCGGCUGCAAUCAGUUUAGCGUCUUUCGCCACAAAGAGAACUCCUCUUUGCUGCAUCGGGCACAACAUCUCUUAAAAUCAUGGAAUAUUUUGCAGCGAAGCCGCUUAAUUUCCAGUUGGAGGCCUCCGCGAGUACUUGAAAAAUAUUGGAUUUGAAGUGAGAACUUUUGGAAUAAACUCGUCCCUCGUCAAUGGAAGUUGUGUUGGCAAUGCGCAAAAGACAGUGUUUUCAUCAACGCAAGAUACGAUCCAAAAGGAUUUUCUGAAAAAGACUACGUCAAGAGUUUCAUCUACCUCAAUAUUAAUUUUUACUUCAUGUGAGUUCUCUGUAAAUCCGUGAUUAUUAAUUUAUUGAAAAUAAAAGUAGCCAUUUAUAGCAAAAAUAAAUUUUGUGAUUUUC